rfam:Gossypium arboreum cultivar AKA8401 contig_1152_11, whole genome shotgun sequence.
UUUAGAGAUUUUUAUUCAUUUUUAUUGUUAAAAAUUGACUUUUCUGAUGGAGUAAUCUUAUUAUUAGACAUGACAUGUCACAUCUACCUCAAGUUAAUGUACAUGAAUCAAUUUUUAACAGUAAAAAUGAAUGAAUUUUUAAA